AACCCUAGCGCUCCCGAUCCCUAGUCCGCCGCAGACUAACACGCACGCCGCUCCAAUCCCUCUCGGAGAUGUCGCACUUCGGUCGAUCCGGACCUCCGGACAUCAGAGACACCUACUCACUCCUCGUCCUCAACAUCACUUUCCGAACCACCGCGGACGACCUCUUCCCGCUCUUCGACAAGUACGGCAAGGUCGUCGAUGUCUUCAUUCCCCGAGACCGGAGGACUGGCGAUUCUCGUGGAUUUGCUUUUGUCCGAUAUAAGUAUCAGGACGAGGCGCAUAAGGCGGUGGAGAAGCUCGAUGGGAGAGUUGUUGAUGGAAGAGAGAUUAUGGUUCAGUUUGCUAAGUACGGCCCCAAUGCGGAGCGAAUCCACAAGGGUAGGGUAAGUGAAUCAACUUCCAAGCUCAAAUCAAGGUCCCGAAGCCGUAGCCCUCGUCCUAGGUAUCGAGAUGAAUAUAAGGAAAAGGAUUAUGGAAGUCGCAGUCGAAGUAGGGAGAGGUAUAGUCGUGACAGGCACCAUAGGAGUGAAAGAGAGCAUCGCUACAGAAGUAGGAGCCGCAGUGCAAGUCCUGGUAAUCGUAAGAGGGGCAGAUAUGAUGAUGAGCGGCGUAGUCGGAGCCGGUCAUAUGGAAGUGCCUCUCCUGUUCGGAAUAGCUCCAAGUCUCGCAGAAGCCCAUCUCCUCGGAGGAGCCCCUCUCCUCGGAGGAGCUUAUCUCCUCGAAUGAGCGCAUCUCCUCAGAGAAGUGCAUCUCCUCGUACGACACCACCUAGGGGUGAGAAUGUUUUUGGACGCAACCGCAAGGAACGCUCUCCUACCCCCAAAGAUGAUUCACCACAUGGACGUCGUGAUGAUUCUCCAAGUCCUUCCCCUCGUAAAUCUGACGCAGAUGAAUGAUGGACUCUCAACUUGUGGCCCGAGAUGAUAACUUUUGGCUUGAGGGCUUGUGUCUGCAUUCAUUGUUGGAGGAUGAGUUUUAUAUUAUGGAUCAACGUAUUGAAUGUUACUUUUGACUUCCUGCAGUUUUGUUGAAGGUUAAACAUUUCUUUGUUGGACAGAUGAUGUUCGGGAAGAGUGAACAUUGCUGAUUGGCGAGAUGCUGUAGCUGUACUAGCUGUUGGUGCUAUUUUUACUACAGAAAAGGUAGAUGUCAAUGUGUCAUGUCCACGCUGAUUGCAGUCUGGUCUUUUCCUACUUGCUAUAUCGGCCUUAUUUAGUGGUUUCCGGGAAUAGUGAACUUGCUGGUUGACGAGAUGCUGUACUAGCUGUUGGUGCUAUUUUAACUACACAAAUGGUAGAUGUCAAUGUCAUGUUCUUGCUGAUUGCGGUCUGCUCUUAACCUGUUUUGCUUUCAUGAAACUCUGGUUGGUAAGAGUAAAACUCAUGUUUCCAGUCUUUAUCCAUUGGUUUUUGAUUUUUCCCCUGAUCACACUGAUUUUGCUCACUGAUCGUAAAAGUUUGGUCCUUUAAAGGAAUCGUGGAUGCUGUGGUUGCCUAAGUUGGUCGGAAUUCACUUGCCAUUGCAUGUAGCUGAUGCAGUAUUUUUUAUAAGUAGGAGCUGAUGCAGUAUUUUACCAUAUAGGAGCAGAUGCAGUUUAUAGGAAAACACAUCGACUUUUGUCUUGCUUUUCUUUUCUGGGACUAGUAGGGGUGGUGAGCGGGUUAUGAUCGAUCAUUAGCUAGUUGCUGGCAGCCGCCGCAGCACGAUGAAAAUUCUCGAGUCAUGCUCUUGUUGAUGCAAUAGUUGGUAUGUUUAGGUAAUUACUGACAGGGUACUUGUGCAGCUAUGUGAAACAUUAUUCAUGUUGAACCAAGUUAAGUAAUAAUUGUGAUUAAGCUA